ACCAGACUCCUACGGGAGGCAGCAGUGGGGGAUAUUGCACAAUGGGGGGAACCCUGAUGCAGCGACGCCGCGUGGGUGAAGGAGUAUUUCGGUAUGUAAAGCCCUAUCGGCAGGGAAGAAAUUGGACGGUACCUGACUAAGAAGCCCCGGCUAACUACGUGCCAGCAGCCGCGGGAAUACGUAGGGGGCAAGCGUUAUCCGGAUUCACUGGGUGUAAAGGGAGCGUAGACGGCCAGGCAAGCCUGGAGUGAAAGCCCGGGGCCCAACCCCGGGACUGCUCUGGGAACUGUCCGGCUGGAGUGCGGGAGGGGCAGGCGGAAUUCCUGGCGUAGCGGUGAAAUGCGUAGAUAUCAGGAGGAACACCGGUGGCGAAGGCGGCCUGCUGGACUGCAACUGACGUUGAGGCCCGAAAGCGUGGGGAGCAAACAGGAUUAGAUACCCGUGUAUA
rnacentral:rRNA from 1 species